AGAAUCAAGCGUUUAAGGGCAUUUGGUGGAUGCCUUGGCACUGAGAGGCGAUGAAGGACGUGGUACGCUGCGAUAAGCCGCGGGGAGCUGCGAACAAGCUUUGAUCCGUGGAUUUCCGAAUGGGGAAACCCGGCCCUUUUGGGUCAUCGUCUGGUGAAUACAUGAGGCAGUCGAAGCGAACCCGGCGAACUGAAACAUCUCAUUAGCCGGAGGAAAGGACAUCAAUUGAGACUCCCCUAGUAGUGGCGAGCGAACGGGGACCAGGCCAGUGGCCAUUUCGAUUUGAACCGGAAGGAGUUGGAAAGCUCCGCCGUAGAGGGUGACAGCCCCGUACGGGUAGAGAGCGUUAUGGUCCUUGAGUAGGGCGGGACACGUGAAAUCCUGUCUGAACAUGGGGGGACCACCCUCCAAGCCUAAGUACUCCUCAGUGACCGAUAGUGAACCAGUACCGUGAGGGAAAGGUGAAAAGCACCCCGAUGAGGGGAGUGAAACAGACCCUGAAACCGGAUGCCUACAAGCAGUGGGAGCCUCCUUUGAGGGGUGACCGCGUACCUUUUGUAUAAUGGGUCAGCGAGUUAAUCUUGCGAGCGAGCUUAAGCCGUUAGGUGUAGGCGCAGCGAAAGCGAGUCUGAACAGGGCGUUUAGUUCGCGGGAUUAGACCCGAAACCGGGUGAUCUAGCCAUGGCCAGGCUGAAGGUGGGGUAACACCCACUGGAGGGCCGAACCCACUAAUGUUGAAAAAUUCGGGGAUGAGCUGUGGCUAGGGGUGAAAGGCCAAUCAAACCUGGAGAUAGCUGGUUCUCCGCGAAAACUAUUUAGGUAGUGCGUCGUUGUAUUACCUUCGGGGGUAGAGCACUGGAUGGGCUAGGGGGCCGCGAGGCUUACCAAACCUAACCAAACUCCGAAUACCGANNNNNNNNNNNNNNNNNNNNNNNNNNNNGGGUGCUAAGGUCCGUCGUCGAGAGGGAAACAGCCCAGACCGCCAGCUAAGGUCCCCAAGUGAUGGCUAAGUGGGAAAGGAUGUGGGAAGGCCAAGACAACCAGGAGGUUGGCUUAGAAGCAGCCAUCCUUUAAAGAAAGCGUAAUAGCUCACUGGUCUAGUUAAGCCGUCCUGCGCCGAAGAUGUACCGGGGCUCAAGCCACGCACCGAAGCUGCGGGCUCGUGCUUUGACGAGC
rnacentral:rRNA from 2 species